rnacentral:rRNA from 1 species
GAUGAACGCUGGCGGCGUGCCUAAUACAUGCAAGUCGAGCGAACAGACUAGGAGCUUGCUCCUCUGACGUUAGCGGCGGACGGGUGAGUAACACGUGGAUAACCUACCUAUAAGACUGGGAUAACUUCGGGAAACCGGAGCUAAUACCGGAUAAUAUAUUGAACCGCAUGGUUCAAUAGUGAAAGACGGUUUUGCUGUCACUUAUAGAUGGAUCCGCGCCGCAUUAGCUAGUUGGUAAGGUAACGGCUUACCAAGGCAACGAUGCGUAGCCGACCUGAGAGGGUGAUCGGCCACACUGGAACGGAGACACGGUCCAGACUCCUACGGGAGGCAGCAGUAGGGAAUCUUCCGCAAUGGGCGAAAGCCUGACGGAGCAACGCCGCGUGAGUGAGGAAGGUCUUCGGAUCGUAAAACUCUGUUAUUAGGGAAGAACAAAUGUGUAAGUAACUAUGCACGUCUUGACGGUACCUAAUCAGAAAGCCACGGCUAACUACGUG